CCUACGGGUUGCAGCAGUGGGGAAUAUUGGACAAUGGGCGAAAGCCUGAUCCAGCAAUGCCGCGUGUGUGAAGAAGGUCUUCGGAUUGUAAAGCACUUUCGACGGGGACGAUGAUGACGGUACCCGUAGAAGAAGCCCCGGCUAACUCCGUGCCAGCAGCCGCGGUAAUACGGGGGGGGCAAGCGUUGUUCGGAAUUACUGGGCGUAAAGGGAUCGUAGGUGGCCCGCUAAGUCAGACGUGAAAUCCCUCAGCUCAACUGGGGAACUGCGUCUGAGACUGGAGGGCUUGAGUGCAGGAGAGGAACGCGGAAUUCCAGGUGUAGCGGUGAAAUGCGUAGAUAUCUGGAGGAACACCGGUGGCGAAGGCGGCGUUCUGGACUGCUACUGACACUGAGGAACGAAAGCCAGGGGAGCAAACGGGAUUAGAUACCCCAGUAGUC
rnacentral:rRNA from 1 species